rnacentral:misc_RNA from 1 species
GGAAUAUUGCACAAUGGGCGCAAGCCUGAUGCAGCCAUGCCGCGUGUAUGAAGAAGGCCUUCGGGUUGUAAAGUACUUUCAGCGGGGAGGAAGGCGGUGAGGUUAAUAACCUCAUCGAUUGACGUUACGCGCAGAAGAAGCACCGGCUAACUCCGUGCCAGCAGCCGCGGUAAUACGGAGGGUGCAAGCGUUAAUCGGAAUUACUGGGCGUAAAGCGCACGCAGGCGGUCUGUCAAGUCGGAUGUGAAAUCCCCGGGCUCAACCUGGGAACUGCAUUCGAAACUGGCAGGCUAGAGUCUUGUAGAGGGGGGUAGAAUUCCAGGUGUAGCGGUGAAAUGCGUAGAGAUCUGGAGGAAUACCGGUGGCGAAGGCGGCCCCCUGGACAAAGACUGACGCUCAGGUGCGAAAGCGUGGGGAGCAAACAGGA